rnacentral:misc_RNA from 1 species
UAUGAAGAACGUAGCAAAAUGCGAUAAGUAAUGUGAAUUGCAGAAUUCAGUGAAUCAUCGAAUCUUUGAACGCACAUUGCGCCCGCCAGUAUUCUGGCGGGCAUGCCUGUUCGAGCGUCAUUUCAACCCUCAAGCACAGCUUGGUGUUGGGACUCGCGUUAAUUCGCGUUCCUCAAAUUGAUUGGCGGUCACGUCGAGCUUCCAUAGCGUAGUAGUAAAACCCUCGUUACUGGUAAUCGUCGCGGCCACGCCGUUAAACCCCAACUUCUGAAUGUUGACCUCGGAUCAGGUAGGAAUACCCGCUGAACUUAAGCAUAUCAAUAAGCGGAGGA